rnacentral:misc_RNA from 1 species
GCAAACUUGGUCAUUUAGAGGAAGUACAAGUCGUAACAAGGUUUCCGUAGGUGAACCUGCGGAAGGAUCAUUAACAAGUCGAGUAUUGUGUGGUAUUUUAUAUAUUGCACAUUCAUUUGUGCUCUGGCGGUAUGCUAGAAUGCACCUAUUAUAUAUAUGUUGUCAUGUGCAAUAAUGUAAGAAUUUACAAUCAAUAUACAUCAUACUUUUAACAAUGGAUCUCUUGGCUCUUGCAUCGAUGAAGAACGCAGC